rnacentral:rRNA from 1 species
AACGAACGCUGGCGGCAGGCUUAACACAUGCAAGUCGAGCGAAGACUUCGGUCUUAGCGGCGGACGGGUGAGUAACACGUGGGCAACCUGCCCUGCAGAUCGGGAUAACUCCGGGAAACCGGUGCUAAUACCGAAUAGUUUGCGGCCUCUCAUGAGGCUGCACGGAAAGACGGUUUCGGCUGUCACUGCAGGAUGGGCCCGCGGCGCAUUAGCUAGUUGGUGAGGUAACGGCUCACCAAGGCCACGAUGCGUAGCCGACCUGAGAGGGUGAUCGGCCACACUGGGACUGAGACACGGCCCAGACUCCUACGGGAGGCAGCAGUAGGGAAUCUUCCGCAAUGGACGAAAGUCUGACGGAGCAACGCCGCGUGAGUGAAGAAGGUUUUCGGAUCGUAAAACUCUGUUGUGAGGGAAGAACAAGUACCAACUAACUACUGGUACCUUGACGGUACCUCACCAGAAAGCCACGGCUAACUACGUGCCAGCCGCCGCAGUAAAAC